rnacentral:rRNA from 1 species
CGCAACGAGCGCAACCCUUGAUCUUAGUUGCCAGCAUUCAGUUGGGCACUCUAAGGUGACUGCCGGUGACAAACCGGAGGAAGGUGGGGAUGACGUCAAAUCAUCAUGCCCCUUAUGACCUGGGCUACACACGUGCUACAAUGGGCAGAACAAAGGGCAGCGAAACCGCGAGGUUAAGCCAAUCCCACAAAUCUGUUCUCAGUUCGGAUCGCAGUCUGCAACUCGACUGCGUGAAGCUGGAAUCGCUAGUAAUCGCGGAUCAGCAUGCCGCGGUGAAUACGUUCCCGGGCCUUGUACACACCGCCCGU